GAUGAACGCUGGCGGCGUGCCUAAUACAUGCAAGUCGAGCGAACAGAUGAGGAGCUUGCUCCUUUGACGUUAGCGGCGGACGGGUGAGUAACACGUGGAUAACCUACCUAUAAGACUGGGAUAACUUCGGGAAACCGGAGCUAAUACCGGAUAAUAUAUAGAACCGCAUGGUUCAAUAGUGAAAGACGGUUCUGCUAUCACUUAUAGAUGGAUCCGCGCCGCAUUAGCUAGUUGGUAAGGUAACGGCUUACCAAGGCGACGAUACGUAGCCGACCUGAGAGGGUGAUCGGCCACACUGGAACUGAGACACGGUCCAGACUCCUACGGGAGGCAGCAGUAGGGAAUCUUCCGCAAUGGGCGAAAGCCUGACGGAGCAACGCCGCGUGAGUGAUGAAGGUCUUCGGAUCGUAAAACUCUGUUAUUAGGGAAGAACAAAUGUGUAAGUAACUAUGCACGUCUUGACGGUACCUAAUCAGAAAGCCACGGCUAACUACGUG
rnacentral:rRNA from 1 species